AAAAUGCGAUAAGUAGUGUGACUUGCAGAUUCCUGUGAUUCAUCAAAUUCUCGAACGCAGCCUGCACUUAAAUGGUCUCCAUUUAAGUGUGUUUGGUUGAGUGGGAUUUUCAUCAUCUAUCUCUCACACAAAAUGUGUGAAUGGAUUUUGUCAGACAAUAACAAUAUAACAUGUAAUGGUCUGAUUAAUUAGAUAUAGAAAGUGGAAUAAAAAUCUAUAGCUCAUUUUUAAAUGAGGCUUUUAGCUUGUUUUGAAAAAAAACUUCAAUCAAGUGAAGCUUUGUUAAAAAGAAAGUGUGUCUUUAUUUUUUUCUUCCACAUAUUUGUUCUGUUUCAUGCAAAUGAAAAACAAAUUCAAAUCCCCUCAACUCAAGCACGAACACCCGCUGAACUUAAGC
rnacentral:misc_RNA from 1 species